CAGCCGCCGCGGUAAUACGGAGGGGGCUAGCGUUGUUCGGAAUUACUGGGCGUAAAGCGUACGUAGGCGGUUUUGUAAGUUAGAGGUGUAAGCCCGGAGCUCAACUCCGGAAUUGCCUUUAAGACUGCAUCACUUGAACGUCGGAGAGGUGAAUGGAAUUCCGAGUGUAGAGGUGAAAUUCGUAGAUAUUCGGAAGAACACCAGUGGCGAAGGCGGCUCACUGGACGACUGUUGACGCUGAGGUACGAAAGCGUGGGGAGCAAACAGGAUUAGAUACCCCGGUAGUCCCUGUCUCUUAUAC
rnacentral:rRNA from 1 species